GCCCUUGUGGCGUAGUGGUAGCGCGUCGCACUUGUAGCACCUCCGUCGUGAUAUAUGCGAAGGUCCCUAGUUCAAUCCUGGGCGGGGGCA
rfam:Magnaporthe oryzae 70-15 chromosome 7, whole genome shotgun sequence.